rnacentral:rRNA from 1 species
AGCGAACGCUGGCGGCAGGCUUAACACAUGCAAGUCGAGCGGGCACUUUCGGGUGUCAGCGGCGGACGGGUGAGUAACGCGUGGGAACGUGCCCUCUGGUUCGGAAUAACUCAGGGAAACUUGAGCUAAUACCGGAUACGCCCUUUUGGGAAAAGGCUUGCUGCCGGAGGAUCGGCCCGCGUCUGAUUAGCUAGUUGGUGAGGUAACGGCUCACCAAGGCGACGAUCAGUAGCUGGUCUGAGAGGAUGAUCAGCCACACUGGGACUGAGACGCGGCCCAGACUCCUACGGGAGGCAGCAGUGGGGAAUAUUGGACAAUGGGCGCAAGCCUGAUCCAGCCAUGCCGCGUGAGUGAUGAAGGCCUUAGGGUUGUAAAGCUCUUUUAUCCGGGACGAUAAUGACGGUACCGGAGGAAUAAGCCCCGGCUAACUUCGUG